UACUGUGCGUGUUUUUGUUUUGCUUUCCUGCCUUUAGACGUGUGCCCGCAGAGAAUAAGGGCUGCUUGUAUUAUACUCUCAUGGUCAGCACAUAUUAGUUACAGCCCUAGAUUGGUACAGCCUCAGCCACUCCACACGGACGUGAUUUUUAUUUAUUUAUGUUUUUAAUUUUUUUUAACAAUUAUUUGUAUUCAUUUUCCAAUUUUCCUCCUGUUUUGGAAUGUCAAAUUAUUAUUCAACCUGGCUCACCGCUGCAACCCCCGAACUAACUUGGGAGAGACGAAGAUGAGCACUUGUGUGCUCCGAAAUGAGUGCUGUCAGCUGUCUGCUUUUUUUCACUCUGCAAGCCCGUCGUGCAGCUGUAUCCAGAACUUACAGCGUCGGAGGACCACGUACAGGCUGGCCUGCAGGCACCCGGCUGGCCACAGGGGUCUCUGGUGUGUGGUGAGCCAAGACCUCCCCAUUCGACAUAACCCCUACCCCGCCUGGGCAACGCUUGGCCAAUUAUGCACCGCCCCCUGGGAACUCCCGUCCAUGGUUGGCAGUGGCAUAGCUUGGAUUCGAACCAACGAUCUCCAAGCUAUAGGGCGCAUCCUGGUGGAGUACCUUUACCGAAUGCGCCACUCGGGAACCCCCACAUGGGUGUGAUUUAAAAAAGCCUGAACAGUAAUGUAGAAGGACAACGUCAGGCCCCAGGUGUUUUAAUGUCAGGAAUGAGACUCAGAAGCUUGGAAAAGCUGCAGUUUAACUGCUGUUGCACACUUCUAAUACACACAACCAACAAAAACAUAGGAACAAAGUAACUGGCACAAGGGCCAAAAUAAAAGGUUUAAACAAAACAAAAAAUAAUACCAACAGUGCUGUCAGGCUGGGCAUUCACCUUCACUGACUACCCCAGAAUAACCCACAGGUUACCCUCACCCAAACAAAGGAUUUCCCCUCCUUAAAUACCAUGUGGCAAACAGUGCGUCAUCAUGUCAUCAUCUUUAAACAAAUGUCACAUACAUGUAUAAUACACUUUCCAACAGUUCAACAUUAUUACAAGAAAAUAAAAACAAACCCUUUUAAAUUAACAAUACUGAAAACAGUGAGAGACAGUAAACAGAACAUGUGUGAUGGCUGGCUAGUGCACAUACCUGUUGACUGUUUUGCCCUGUGUCGUUAUGGAGACUGUAAGUGGAUAUGGAAGUAGGAGCCUCAGUGGGUGAUUAUUUUAUUGUAAAUCUGGUGAUAGCUUAGAGUCAUGAACUAUAUCACAUUUCCAAAAGUUUGAUAAGUUGGACAUUACAACUAUUAUUGAAUUAAUACUUCUUCCCUUAAAAUAAAGCCUAACUCAAAAUGAAA